AGAUCUGCAUUGUAAGAAAAAUGAGAAGAAUUCCUUCAGGAAGAAGAAAAAUGAUACCAGAUGGAUAUGUGGAUCCACAUAAAGGAACGAAGAGCACAGGAAAUAGUAACUAUACUGUCUUGCUCUGUCACCCAGGCUGGAGUGUGGUGGUGCGAUCUUGGCUCACUGCUAGACUGGUUGGAUCCAGGUUUCCUUCGUCAGUCCAGGCAGGACUGUGCGGUUGGAAAAGGGACGGAUGCUGGUCCUGGAAGGGGCGUCGUUAUCUAGAAGCUCCCAACCUAAGUGGGUGACUCAUAGGGAGGGCAAGGAGAGAAGGACACAGCAAGCAACUUACAUGUAAAACAAGACGUGUGGGUUAUUAUGGAAGAAAUUCACAACCAAACUUGGGGUUAGCCCGUAUUGUUUUCCAAGAACUCUAUGUGGACAGUGACAAAAAACAGACCUAAGAACUAGCAGACUGGGCAAAGCUUUUUCACAUAACAACAACAAAAAAAGCAAUUCCUCAGGAAAAAAUGGUCAAUGGGUCAUUGUGUGUAGACAAAACUACAAGUUCUGCUCCAGACUCUGGGGAAACCAUGCUGCCAUCUUCAAGCUGUGGCCAUUCUGUAAUACAGACUACGCUAAAUCACAUGUUGUCAUCAAGGCAGAAUAUUUUGUUCCUUUAUGGGUCAGCCUGGGAUACAAAAUUAGAGAAACUUUGCAAUGAAAAAUCCCUUGUGUCUCAUUGAACUUUUUCCUUAAUUCAAACCUUUCCUUUCACAGUUUUGAUUAGUGCCUUUGCCCAUGUGGACAAUAUUUUAUGAUCAGGUUUUAAGAGUAAUCCAUCCAUGGCUGCUUGGCUGCCUGGAACUUAAAACAACGACAACAACAAUGUCCAGAUAAACCCAAUAAAAUAGGUUUUUAAAUGUG
rnacentral:lncRNA from 1 species